rnacentral:rRNA from 1 species
AUUUUUUACAGAUAUUUAAAAUAAANUAAANUAAAAUAAANUAAAAAUNGUAAAACAAAACUAACAAAAUUAAAUCAUUAAUAACAAAAAAAUAAAAANNGAUCUUGUAUGUAAUAGAGAAUNGAAAACAAGAAAAAACCGCUAAUACUAAAGAAAAGAUUUAAAUAAAGGAAUUUACCCCUANUAACACAUUAAAUACACCUAUAUAAAAAGUACNNGAAAAGGAAAUUAAAAGAAAUCCAAGUAAUAUAAUAAACGAUCAAACAUUAUUCCUUUUGCAUCAGGAACUUAUAAGAAACCCCAUAAAUAAGUCAAACCACACAGCCCAAAAACAAUAAAAGAAAAAAAUUUAUAAUACCCGAAUUCUUGUGAUCUAACUACAGACAGUCAACCCAGGACGAAUUAAUAAAUGUUUCAAUAUUUUUAAACGAGCUGUAACUAGAAAAUGAAAAAUUAACCGGACAAGACUAUAACUGGUUUUCGACUAAAUAUAUAUAAGUAUAUUAACAAAAUCUAAAAAACACAAUAAAAGUAUAAACAAUUUUAAACACUAAUAUCAACCAGACUAGCAGUGAAAAGAUCUCCAGUCCAAACGGAAACAACCGCCUACUACAUUUAAAAUCCCAAAAUAAUAAAAAUAUACUCGUCAAUAUCAAAGAAAAAGUAGACCCACAAACAGCCAACUUCUAACAAAAACGUAACAGUUUAUAACAACAAUACCAAUAUAAAAAAUACACGAUACUUAAAAAUUAAAAAUUAGAAGAAAAAAAAGAUAAUCGAAUAAUCAAUAAACACUAUUCAAAAAACAAUAUAAGCACUAGUAAUAUAAACCAAAACCCAAAGGAAAAUAAACGGCCUUCAAUUAAAUAACAAGAAGAAACCCGACCCACUUCCCAACCGUACUCAAAACCAACACUGGUGGAAAAAAAGAUAAAGAAAAAAAAUCUCAAGGAACUAAGCAAACCAGAACUCGACUGUUUACCAAAAACAUAGCUACUAGAAAACAUUAUUAAUAGUGACGCCUGCUCAAUGGUUGACAAUAAACAACAAAACCAACUCAAUAGCUGCGGUAACAUUUAACCGCACAAAGGUAGCACAACAAAUAGCCUACUAAUUACAGGAUUGCAUGAAGGCAUAACGAAGCUCAAACUGUCUCAAGACCCCACUAUAAAAAAUAGAAUGUGUGUGCAAAUCCACACUAAAAUGGCAAGACGAUAAGACCCUAAGAACUUUACUCAAAGCUUCAACAAAACCAACUCAAAAAUAAAUAACAUAUUCAGAAAACAAUAAACUCAAGCAUUAAGUUCCGUUGGGGCAACGGUCUCAAAAAAAAUAAAUGAGAUUAAUUAAUCCACACUAAAAUAUUAAAAAACAAUAUUUAAAUUAAAUAACGAUAAGACCCAUUAACAAAAAAGAUUAAUGAACAAAAAAUAAAAGUUCCUUAGGGAUAACAGCGUAAUAUUGCCACUAAAGAUUUUCAAGCAAUGUUUGCGACCUCGAUGUUGAAUUGCUAUAUCCUAAAUGUAAAAGCAUUAAAGGGUUGGACUGUCCUUCCAUUAAAAAUAGCCCAUGAUUUGAGUUCAGACCGAGGCAACUCAGGUCAGAUUCUAUCUACCAUUAAACCAACAAAAUGAAAAAGAAAAAAGUACGAAAGGAAAAUUCUUAUAACCCCAAUAGUACACACACAGCCACGCCGAAUAAAAAAAAUUAUAAAUUCAACACCUCAAAUAAAACA